UUAAUGAGAGUUUGAUCCUGGCUCAGGACGAACGCUGGCGGCGUGCCUAAUACAUGCAAGUAGAACGCUGAGGACUGGUGCUUGCACCGGUCCAAGGAGUUGCGAACGGGUGAGUAACGCGUAGGUAACCUACCUCAUAGCGGGGGAUAACUAUUGGAAACGAUAGCUAAUACCGCAUAAAAGUGUUUAACCCAUGUUAAACAUUUAAAAGGUGCAACUGCAUCACUAUGAGAUGGACCUGCGUUGUAUUAGCUAGUUGGUGAGGUAACGGCUCACCAAGGCGACGAUACAUAGCCGACCUGAGAGGGUGAUCGGCCACACUGGGACUGAGACACGGCCCAGACUCCUACGGGAGGCAGCAGUAGGGAAUCUUCGGCAAUGGACGGAAGUCUGACCGAGCAACGCCGCGUGAGUGAAGAAGGUUUUCGGAUCGUAAAGCUCUGUUGUUAGAGAAGAAUGAUGGUGGGAGUGGAAAAUCCACCAUGUGACGGUAACUAACCAGAAAGGGACGGCUAACUACGUGCCAGCAGCCGCGGUAAUACGUAGGUCCCGAGCGUUGUCCGGAUUUAUUGGGCGUAAAGCGAGCGCAGGCGGUUCUUUAAGUCUGAAGUUAAAGGCAGUGGCUCAACCAUUGUACGCUUUGGAAACUGGAGAACUUGAGUGCAGAAGGGGAGAGUGGAAUUCCAUGUGUAGCGGUGAAAUGCGUAGAUAUAUGGAGGAACACCGGUGGCGAAAGCGGCUCUCUGGUCUGUAACUGACGCUGAGGCUCGAAAGCGUGGGGAGCAAACAGGAUUAGAUACCCUGGUAGUCCACGCCGUAAACGAUGAGUGCUAGGUGUUAGGCCCUUUCCGGGGCUUAGUGCCGGAGCUAACGCAUUAAGCACUCCGCCUGGGGAGUACGACCGCAAGGUUGAAACUCAAAGGAAUUGACGGGGGCCCGCACAAGCGGU
rnacentral:rRNA from 1 species